GGGACUUGUACGCGUUGCGGUGCAACGAUCGCCAAAGA
rfam:Desulfosporosinus orientis DSM 765, complete genome.